rnacentral:lncRNA from 1 species
UGGGGAAAAGGCAAGAAAUAACGCAGUGAAUCUUUGCUCCUACUGUGUCCUCGUCACUGAACAUAUGUUACUCAAAGGAAGAAGGUGGUGGAAAAGAAUGAAUGUGACAGCCCGGGAGGGCAGGGAAUCCAUUGUGUGCAGCUCCAGAAUCAAGUGUUUCCCUAGUUUGUGACAGAACGGGUAUGAAACUGAUUAAGAUGAAACUAAUAAUUCAGAGUGCUAUCUGUGUGCCUUCCAGAUGGCAAUUUAUGUAUAAUAAACCACAUAAUAUCAACAGAAGCUCAGGAAAAAACAAUCGUGUCCCCAUCAUUAACUGAAAUCAGUAGACUUGGAUUCUGACACGUGGAACUGUAAAAUUAGAUCUGCAUUUGAAGACAACACUGACUGGUGUGUAUUCUCUUUGUAUGUGAGUAGAUUGUUAACCCCAAAGCUCCGUAUGAUCUUAUCUGGAAUUGUAUUGUAGAGAUCUUUGAAAUAAUCAUGAUAAGUCUUGUGGAAGGAUUUGCAGGUUAAAGCCAAUAAUCUUUAAAUUGCGCUCUGAAAUAAAUACAAAGCUAAGGUUAUUCUCA